rnacentral:rRNA from 1 species
AUUGAACGCUGGCGGCAUGCUUUACACAUGCAAGUCGAACGGUAACAGGCCUUCGGGUGCUGACGAGUGGCGAACGGGUGAGUAAUGCAUCGGAACGUGCCCAAUCGUGGGGGAUAACGUAGCGAAAGUUACGCUAAUACCGCAUAAGCCCUGAGGGGGAAAGUGGGGGACCGCAAGGCCUCACGCGAAUGGAGCGGCCGAUGUCAGAUUAGCUAGUUGGUGGGGUAAAGGCCCACCAAGGCGACGAUCUGUAGCGGGUCUGAGAGGAUGAUCCGCCACACUGGGACUGAGACACGGCCCAGACUCCUACGGGAGGCAGCAGUGGGGAAUAUUGGACAAUGGGCGCAAGCCUGAUCCAGCAAUGCCGCGUGUGUGAAGAAGGCCUGCGGGUUGUAAAGCACUUUUGUUCGGGAAGAAAUCAUGCUGGUUAAUACCUGGUAUGGAUGACGGUACCGAAAGAAUAAGCACCGGCUAACUUCGUGCCAGCAGCCGACGG